CCUGGUGAAAUUAGCGCUAUGGAACCACCCGAUCCCAUCCCGAACUCGGAAGUGAAACGUAGCUGCGCCGAUGG
rnacentral:rRNA from 1 species